rnacentral:rRNA from 1 species
GACGAACGCUGGCGGUGUGCUUAACACAUGCAAGUCGAACGGUAAGGCCCUUUCGGGGGUACACGAGUGGCGAACGGGUGAGUAACACGUGAGUAACCUGCCCUCAUCUCUGGGAUAACAGUCGGAAACGGUUGCUAAUACUGGAUAUGAGCCUGCAAGGCAUCUUGUGGGUUGGAAAGAUUUUUUGGUUGGGGAUGGACUCGCGGCCUAUCAGCUUGUUGGUGAGGUAGUGGCUCACCAAGGCUUCGACGGGUAGCCGGCCUGAGAGGGCGACCGGCCACAUUGGGACUGAGAUACGGCCCAAACUCCUACGGGAGGCAGCAGUGGGGAAUAUUGCACAAUGGACGGAAGUCUGAUGCAGCAACGCCGCGGGCGGGAUGACGGCCUUCGGGUUGUAAACCGCUUUCAAUUGUGACGAAGCUUUUUGUGACGGUAGCAGUAGAAGAAGCACCGGCUAACUACGUG